AUUGAACGCUGGCGGCAGGCCUAACACAUGCAAGUCGAGCGGUAACAGAUCCAGCUUGCUGGAUGCUGACGAGCGGCGGACGGGUGAGUAAUGCAUAGGAAUCUGCCCGAUAGUGGGGGAUAACCUGGGGAAACCCAGGCUAAUACCGCAUACGUCCUACGGGAGAAAGGGGGCUCCGGCUCCCGCUAUGGGAUGAGCCUAUGUCGGAUUAGCUAGUUGGUGAGGUAAUGGCUCACCAAGGCAACGAUCCGUAGCUGGUCUGAGAGGAUGAUCAGCCACAUCGGGACCGAGACACGGCCCGAACUCCUACGGGAGGCAGCAGUGGGGAAUAUUGGACAAUGGGGGAAACCCUGAUCCAGCCAUGCCGCGUGUGUGAAGAAGGCCCUCGGGUUGUAAAGCACUUUCAGCGAGGAAGAACGCCUAGCGGUUAAUACCCGCUAGGAAAGACAUCACUCGCAGAAGAAGCACCGGCUAACUCCGUGCCAGCAGCCGCGGUAAUACGGAGGGUGCAAGCGUUAAUCGGAAUUACUGGGCGUAAAGCGCGCGUAGGUGGCUUGAUAAGCCGGUUGUGAAAGCCCCGGGCUCAACCUGGGAACGGCAUCCGGAACUGUCAAGCUAGAGUGCAGGAGAGGAAGGUAGAAUUCCCGGUGUAGCGGUGAAAUGCGUAGAGAUCGGGAGGAAUACCAGUGGCGAAGGCGGCCUUCUGGACUGACACUGACACUGAGGUGCGAAAGCGUGGGUAGCAAACAGGAUUAGAUACC
rnacentral:rRNA from 1 species